GCUGAAAUAAAUUUCUGUGGAAGACAAAGUUUUAUUAUUCUUGUUGGCAUCAUUAUAAUGCCAACUAUUUGGAUGACCACUCCUUCAUAUGUAUGUGCUACAAGAGUUUAGCUUCUCUUAUCAUAUGUAUGUACUCCCUUGUCUCUGAUAUUGUCUUGUACUGUCUGUGAAGAUUAAGAAAAAUAGUGUGGUGUUUCUCAUGUGUUUCAAACUUGUCUUUAUUGUUUGAAUUAUUUACUUGCAGAAUUAAACAAUGCAA
rnacentral:lncRNA from 1 species